GAUGAACGCUGGCGGCGUGCCUAAUACAUGCAAGUCGAGCGAACGGACGAGAAGCUUGCUUCUCUGAUGUUAGCGGCGGACGGGUGAGUAACACGUGGAUAACCUACCUAUAAGACUGGGAUAACUUCGGGAAACCGGAGCUAAUACCGGAUGAUAUUUUGAACCGCAUGGUUCAAAAGUGAAAGACGGUCUUGCUGUCACUUAUAGAUGGAUCCGCGCUGCAUUAGCUAGUUGGUAAGGUAACGGCUUACCAAGGCAACGAUGCAUAGCCGACCUGAGAGGGUGAUCGGCCACACUGGAACUGAGACACGGUCCAGACUCCUACGGGAGGCAGCAGUAGGGAAUCUUCCGCAAUGGGCGUAAGCCUGACGGAGCAACGCCGCGUGAGUGAUGAAGGUCUUCGGAUCGUAAAACUCUGUUAUUAGGGAAGAACAUAUGUGUAAGUAACUGUGCACAUCUUGACGGUACCUAAUCAGAAAGCCACGGCUAACUACGUG
rnacentral:rRNA from 1 species